AUUGAACGCUGGCGGCAGGCCUAACACAUGCAAGUCGAACGAGUGGCGGACGGGUGAGUAAUGUAUGGGAAACUGCCCGAUGGAGGGGGGUAACUACUGGAAACGGUAGCUAAUACCGCAUACCAUCGGAUGUGCCCAUAUGGGAUUAGCUAGUUGGUGGGGUAAAGGCCUACCAAGGCGACGAUCCGUAACUGGUCUGAGAGGAUGAUCAGCCACACUGGAACUGAGACACGGCCCAGACUCCUACGGGAGGCAGCAGUGGGGAAUAUUGGACAAUGGGCGAAAGCCUGAUGCAGCCAUGCCGCGUGUGUGAAGAAGGUCUUAGGAUUGUAAAGCACUUUAAGUGGGGAGGCGUUACCAACAGAAGAAGCACCGGCUAACUCCGUGCCAGCAGCCGCGGUAAUUC
rnacentral:rRNA from 1 species